UAGAUGAGACGGUCAAUCUCUUCUGCCUCUCCUCCAUUAAAUUAAAGCUUUUUCUUUUUUUUUUUCUGCGUUGGUUCGUUUUCUCCAAUCGAACACCUCCGGUUCGAAGCUGUCCCGAUUCCCACUGCUUCCUCUUCAAUUCAUAUUCUCUGCCUUCUAUGGUACUACAGCAUAUAGACCCUCAUGGAGUUGUUCCCAUCAAAAUCUUCGAGUAAGUAGCAACUUGGCCUGAAUUUUACUGAAGGCAUGACGUCUUCCAAAGCCUACCCCAAGGCGGUUAAUGGAUUGGCAAGGGUACGAUAGAACCAGAGAUUCUGUUGGUUAUAGAACUAUGUAGGAGCUGCUGGAGAUGAGGUUUACACUCUCUGUCUUCGUACAGGAGAAUCACAUGCAUCCCUCUGUUGACCUGCUCUGACAAGAUUGUGUAUCUCACUUAAUCUUGCCGCCAAAUGUGUGCAAAUCUUCUCAGUUAUUUUACAGGGAGCCGCCUUUCAAUGAGGACAUGCCGAGGUUGCAGAUAGAGAACUUUUACUACACUCGUGAGGAUGUUCUUUCUGAAGAGAUCAAGUUGAAAGAGAGUGUGACUUGGUCUGUGCAUAGACCAAACACUAUCUUCGGCUUCUCUCCGUAUAGCUUGAUGAACAUUGUGGGGACUCUCUGCGGCUACGCAGCCAUCUGCAAGCACAAAGGGUCUAACUUGGUUUUCCCGGGAGCAAGAAGGCGUUGGAAGGUUUCUCGACGGUGUCAGACGCUGAUCUGAUUGCUGAGCAGCAGAUUUGGGCUACAGUUGAUCCUUACGCCAAGAACGAAACGUGUAACUGCAGCACCGCUGAUGUUUUCAAGUGCACACAUCUGGGGAAGAUUCUUGCUGAGCAGUUUGGGAUCGAGGAGUCUGGAUUCAAGGAAGGGAAGAAUGUGGGGUUGGUGGAGAUGAUGAAAGGGAAAGAGAAGGUUUGGGAGGAGAUGGUGAAGGUCAGUUGCAGGAGAAGAAGCUUGACGAGGUUGGUGUGUGGUGCUUUACUGAUGUUGUGCUUGGUGUUGAAGGAAUGAUUGAUAGUAUGAACAAGAGGAACGAGUAUGGCUUUCCUGGUUUCAGGAACUCCAACAACUCUUUUAUCUCUUGGA